rnacentral:rRNA from 1 species
UACGUAGGGGGCUAGCGUUGUCCGGAAUCAUUGGGCGUAAAGCGCGCGUAGGCGGCCAGAUAAGUCCGGUGUGAAAGUCAAAGGCUCAACCUUUGAAUGCCGCUGGAAACUGUCUGGCUUGAGUCCGGAAGGGGCGAGUGGAAUUCCUGGUGUAGCGGUGAAAUGCGCAGAUAUCAGGAGGAACACCAAUGGCGAAGGCGGCAUUCUGGACCGAAACUGACGCUGAGGCGCGAAAGCCAGGGGAGCAAACGGG